AGAUUAAGUUAUUAAGGGCGCACGGUGGAUGCCUUGGCGCUAGAAGCCGAUGAAGGACGUUACUAACGACGAUAUGCUUGGGUAGCUGUAAGUAAGCGUUGAUCCAGAGAUUUCCGAAUGGGGGAACCCAACACGAGUUAUGUCGUGUUAUCGACAAGUGAAUUCAUAGCUUGUCAGAAGGCAGACCCGGAGAACUGAAACAUCUUAGUACCCGGAGGAAGAGAAAGAAAAUUCGAUUCCCUGAGUAGCGGCGAGCGA
rnacentral:rRNA from 1 species